GACGCUCUAGCAUCCUGCCACACAAUUGCAUUUGACAAAACUGGGACAUUGACAACCGGAGGGCUUAUGUUUAAAGCAAUUGAACCAAUUUAUGGACAUCUGGUAAGAAACAAGAACAUAAAUUUCACUUCCUGUUGCACUCCCAGCUGUGAGAAAGAAGCUCUUGCUGUAGCAGCUGCUAUGGAAAAGGGUACUACUCACC
rnacentral:misc_RNA from 1 species